rnacentral:rRNA from 1 species
AAUGAACGCUGGCGGCAGGCCUAACACAUGCAAGUCGAACGGAUCCUUCGGGAUUAGUGGCGGACGGGUGAGUAACGCGUGGGAACAUACCCAAAGGUACGGAAUAGCUUCGGGAAACUGGGAGUAAUACCGUAUGUGCUCGAAAGAGGACAGAUUUAUCGCCUUUGGAUUGGCCCGCGUUGGAUUAGGUAGUUGGUGGGGUAAUGGCCUACCAAGCCGGCGAUCCAUAGCUGGUUUGAGAGGAUGAUCAGCCACACUGGGACUGAGACACGGCCCAGACUCCUACGGGAGGCAGCAGUGGGGAAUCUUAGACAAUGGGGGAAACCCUGAUCUAGCCAUGCCGCGUGAUCGAUGAAGGCCUUAGGGUUGUAAAGAUCUUUCAGGUGGGAAGAUAAUGACUGUACCACCAGAAGAAGCCCCGGCUAACUCCGUGCCAGCAGCCGCGGUAA